CCUACGGGGGGCAGCAGUAGGGAAUCUUUCACAAUGGGCGAAAGCCUGAUGGAGCAACGCCGCGUGCAGGAUGAAGGCCUUCGGGUUGUAAACUGCUUUUAUAAGCGAGAAAUAUGAUGGUAACUUAUGAAUAAGGAUCGGCUAACUACGUGCCAGUAGCCGCGGUCAUACGUAGGAUCCGAGCAUUAUCCGGAGUGACUGGGUGUAAAGAGUUGCGUAGGUGGCAUAAUAAGUAGCUAGUGAAAUCUGGUGGCUCAACCAUUCAGACUAUUAGCUAAACUGUUAAGCUCGAGACCGUUAGGGGUAACUGGAAUUUCUAGUGUAGGAGUGAAAUCCGUAGAUAUUAGAAGGAACACCAAUAGCGUAGGCAGGUUGCUGGGACGGUUCUGACACUAAGGCACGAAAGCGUAGGGAGCAAACGGGAUUAGAUACCCCAGUAGUC
rnacentral:rRNA from 1 species